rnacentral:rRNA from 1 species
UGCCAGCAGCCGCGGUAAUACGGGGGGUGCAAGCGUUGUUCGGAAUUACUGGGCGUAAAGCGCGUGUAGGCGGCCCUGCAAGUCAGAUGUGAAAGCCCUCGGCUUAACCGGGGAAGUGCAUCUGAAACUGCUUGGCUUGAGUACUGGAGAGGAAGGCGGAAUUCCCAGUGUAGAGGUGAAAUUCGUAGAUAUUGGGAGGAACACCGGUGGCGAAAGCGGCCUUCUGGACAGAUACUGACGCUGAGACGCGAAAGCGUGGGGAGCAAACAGGAUUAGAUA